ensembl:snRNA U6 U6 spliceosomal RNA
GUCCUCACUUUGGCAGCACAUAUACUAAAAUUGGAAUGAUACAGACAAGACUAGUACGGCCGCUGUACAAGGAUGACACCAAAAAUUGUGAAGCAGUCCAUAUUAAA